rnacentral:rRNA from 1 species
GCCAGCAGCCACAUCACCCUGCAACUCACAACUGGCAACCCACUGAAGCUAAGUAGGUGUGAGCCUGGUCAGUACCUGGAUGGGAGACCUCCUGGGAAAAACUGCUGCUGGAA